rnacentral:rRNA from 1 species
CUACGGGUCGCACCAGUGAGGAAUAUUGCACAAUGGGGGGAACCCUGAUGCAGCAACGCCGCGUGGAGGAUGACGCAUUUCGGUGUGUAAACUCCUUUUAUAUGUCAAGAAAAUGACGGUAGCAUAUGAAUAAGCACCGGCUAACUCCGUGCCAGCAGCCGCGGUAAUACGGAGGGUGCAAGCGUUACGCGGAAUCACUGGGCGUAAAGGACGCGUAGGCGGGGUGGAAAGUCAGGUGUGAAAUCCUACAGCUUAACUGUAGAACUGCACUUGAAACUUCUAAUCUAGAGUAUGGGAGGGGGAGAUGGAAUUAGUGGUGUAGGGGUAAAAUCCGUAGAUAUCACUAGGAAUACCUAAAGCGAAGGCGAUCUCCUGGAACAUUACUGACGCUAAGGCGUGAAAGCGUGGGGAGCAAACAGGAUUAGAUACCCCGGUAGUC